GACGAACGCUGGCGGCGUGCCUAAUACAUGCAAGUAGGACGCAGUUGCGAACGGGUGAGUAACGCGUAGGUAACUACCUAUUAGAGGGGGAUAACUAUUGGAAACGAUAGCUAAUACCGCAUACUAGUAGAUGGACCUGCGGUGUAUUAGCUCGUAUGUAGGGUAAAGGCCUAACUAGGCAACGAUACAUAGCCGACCUUGGAGGGUGAUCGGGCACACUGGGAAUGGUACACGGCCCAGACUCCUACGGGAGGCAGCAGUAGGGAAUCUUAGGAAAGGGGGGGAACCCUGACCGAGCAACGCCGCUGGAGUGAAGAAGGUUUUCGGAUCGUAAAGCUCUGUUGUUAAGGAAGCGGUACUUAACCAGAAAGGGACGGCUAACGACGUGCCAGCAGCCGCGGUAAUUC
rnacentral:rRNA from 1 species